UCAAGUGAGACCUUGACAAGAAUCUGCUUGGUUUCGCUCUUCUUUCUCGCCCGUUUCUCUUUCAGGCUGGGUUCUCCUCGACCCCCCGAAUAACUGAAUCCCGCGGGACGGGACAAGAGUGCAAGGAUGAAAUGUUUCUUGUCAUCAUCUAAGGGCAUCUGAUGUAGCCGAUUCAAUCCAUUCCUUUCUCUUUUUUUGUUUUUUUGGCGCUGCAACGAGAACCUUUGAGGUCUCCUCCCUUCUCCCCCACCUUUCAUUUAGCUUCAACUUCCUUUUGUCUAAUAGUUUCAUUUAUGACAAAAUCAGUCGAGAUAGGUAUGCUUCGAGUCCUUCAAAACCUUGACAGUCUGUUGCUUACAGAGAUCUCACAUUUGGAGGAUGUGCAUUUCAGUCAAUUUUCCCGAUGGGGUCAAAAUGUUAUGCCUACUUUGCCAACCUAUCACUGUUUUUAAUUCUACUAUUUUCUCUCUUUGUUUUGACAGCAAUUAAAAUUUUAAAAAAUCAUAAACUUCCUUUAUUCGUUAACUAACAACUCUGAAAAAUGAUCUCCCAAACUCCAUUUCCAACUCCCAAACUCUGCUCUUUGUCAUUCAGCCAACGGAGUAGAAUGGAACAGGAUUUGUCACUGAGCCUAGGAAUGUGUUCCCUAACCACCCAAAUCUUAGUAAACUCCUUGAGGGAAGGAACUUAGAAAACUUGAGGCAAAUACAAAACUUUAGGAACUAUUAAAGAAAGACGACAAAGACCCUUCUCUUACAAAGAGAAAGGGCUAAAGACAGAUGUUGGAGAGGGAAGCUUCACUUUACACCUCUGCAAAACUAGGGGUUUUACCCGAUGACCUCCGAGGGCCUCUCCAUCUCUACAUCUGAGAUGGUGUAGCAUACUUGCUUUAGGAUUUGGAAAAGCCAGUUAGUUUAGGCUUUGUUAUUGCUCUCACCCGGCGAACGUAGUAGUCUGUUCUUCAGGCUUCCCGGGUUCCACCCUCUCGGAUCAGGCCUGCUGCUAAAACAAUUUUCCAGAAGCAGGAUGUCUGCCCAAGCCUCUUCGUAGAGAAUCUUCCGGGACCCGGUGGUGGGGACUUAAUGAAUGCCUGUCAAAUCUUUGCUUCCUCCGCUCGGCCCCUGCACCCCGCACCCAAAAACUGCAAGCUCAGCCCCAGACAGUUCAGUUCCCGCGCGCCCUGCAUCGCCAAGUCCGGCUCGUGUAAGGGGGAAAAAAAAAAACUUUCCAAGCUUCUAGCCUCAGUUCGCGGUGCCCUUUGGAGAAAAAGGGAAUGCUCCAGGUGAGGAUCGAACUCACAACCUCGGCAUUUCUCGCCCGAUAGUACUGCUGUAUAAGUACCGCGCGCUAACCGAUUGCGCCACUGGAGCCACAAAAGCCUCUCUCUUCGCCCCCUUCACCAGCCAGACGCCUCACUAGCACCCGGCUCUUCCAGACCCAAUGUCGCUCCACACGCCGCCGCUCCGGACCUCAGAAUCCGUGCCGCGACCCAAGAAGCGUCCGCUCAAUAGCUUCGCGGGCCACGAGCCCUACAGGAUCUUAGACCAAGGGAGAGGGACGGGGAAACGGCCAGCCUCCCAGCUGCUUCCCGCCCCUCUGCCGCCUACACCCGCACCACUGCCACGCCUUGCCCACCCGAGGCAGACCGGGAACAGCCAAGGCAACCACUUCUCUGUCACCCAGGGAAACGUCUCUCUCCUCACAGAGCUUCCACAUCCAUUCCGUUCGCCUCCUCAGAGAGACCGACGCAGGCCCUCCACUCCCUCACCCGACCAGCAGGUGUACCCAGCGCACGAGCCGCGAGGAAAAGGAGAUAGAGGAAAGGUUUCUUCCCACCCUUUGCUUUGGAGAACGCGAACGGCCCCGAGAGGCCAGGAGGAAUCACUUGACCACGAAUCUUUCCCUGAUAUUGCAUCUUUCUUUCGUUCUUUUUAAAAACUUUCUUUCAGAAAACAGAGCAAAUAGAUGAGACUUAAAAGCAAAUCGUCCCAGACGUCAAAGACGCGGGUCUCCCCGUGUGUUUCCACCCGCGCUUCCUCAGUUAAUGGCUGACUGCCAAAUCCCGGGCCCUGUGGCCCUUCAGCUUCCUAUGUAGUGUCCCUUGCUUGCUUCCUCCACCCCCCGUUCCCGCCCCGUUCGCUCUUGUCUUGUCCUGUCUCCACCCCCAGCCCCAAUUGUGGAAUUUCUAAGAAGUGUAGGACGGACGUCCUCCUCAUCAACUCCCUCCUUCACCCGAUGUUUUCCACCUAACUUUCAAGAUCCUCCACGAUCUGUUGCUACCCCGAUAUUGCCGCUUUCUCACCCCACCCUAAGUAUUCAGCAAACACUGGCGUCUUGCAGGGCACGACAGCGACACAGCGCUCGGCGCUGCGGCCCGGAUGGAGUCAGCGAGACUGUGGUGGAUGGGUGGUUGUCCUUGGUCCUGGAAGAGGAUCAAAAUGACGUUUCCACAUGGGAGUCGAGGUACAGUGACUGAUCUCGUGACUGCUCAGAGCGAUGGGAGCCGGGAAAACUGCCCCACAGGUCGGCCCCAUGGGUCCCAGCAACAUGUGGAGCGGACCUGUCUUGCGCGAGUUCUCCGUGAAUAAACAAUCUUUGAGGCAACCCAAAAAAUGUUUGCCAUUCGAACAAGGUGGCCAGCCGCGGAGUUGCUCUCUCUGAGGCACGUAGUUUCUCAAUACUUGACAGUUCAGCCAAAGGAGGUCCUGGUGUCUGACACCUUCUCCAGCCAGGUGGUGGAAGGUAGUCUUCUACAAGGUAGUCGUGGCCGAGUGGUUAAGGCGAUGGACUUGAAAUCCAUUGGGGUUUCCCCGCGCAGGUUCGAAUCCUGCCGACUACGGUGGUGUAGUUUUAAAA